rnacentral:rRNA from 1 species
CCCGCACAAGCAGCGGAGCGUGUGGUUUAAUUCGAUGUUACACGAAGAACCUUACCAGGGUUUGACAUGCAAGUGGUAGGAAGCCGAAAGGUGACCGACCCUUCGGGGAGCUUGCACAGGUGCUGCAUGGCUGUCGUCAGCUCGUGUCGUGAGAUGUUCGGUUAAGUCCGCUAACGAGCGCAACCCUCGCUGUGUGUUAUAUGUGUCACACGGGACUGCCGGUCUUAAGCCGGAGGAAGGUGGGGAUGAUGUCAAGUCAGCAUGGCCUUUAUAUCCUGGGCUACACACACGCUACAAUGGCCAACACAAUAGGUUGCUAAGCCGCGAGGUGGCGCCAAUCCAUAAAGUUGGUCUCAGUUCAGAUUGUAGGCUGCAACCCGCCUGCAUGAAGAUGGAGUUGCUAGUAACCGCAGGUCAGCUAUACUGCGGUGAAUACGUUCCCGGGGCUU